rnacentral:rRNA from 1 species
CCCUAUUAUAUAAAAAAAAUUAAAAGAUUAGUAUUAUAAAAAGGAAAUUAAUAAUUUUGGCGGUUGAUUUUUUUUAGAGGAGCUUGUUAUUAAUAGAAUUAACUCUUUAAAUUUUAGUAUUAAAAUAAUUUAUUCAUCUCCGUUAUCAAAAUUAAAUUUAAUAAAUACUUUUUUAUAUAUCAGGUCAAGAUGUAGUUUUUAUUAAGUAUGAUUAGCUACAAUUAUGGGAUAAAUGAAUUUAUAAAAUUGUAUACUAAUUUUGAAUUUGAAUUUAAUUGUAAUAGCAAUUAGAAAAUUGUUGUGAGCUAAUUGAAUUAAUGUA